UACGGAGGGUGCAAGCGUUGUCCGGAUUUAUUGGGUUUAAAGGGUGCGUAGGCGGCUUUUUAAGUCAGUGGUGAAAGACAACAGCUCAACUGUUGCAGUGCCAUUGAUACUGAAGAGCUUGAGUACAGAUGAGGUAGGCGGAAUUUAUGGUGUAGCGGUGAAAUGCAUAGAUAUUGUCAAGAACACCAAUUGCGAAGGCAGCUUACUAAGUUAUAACUGACGCUGAGGCACGAAAGUGCGGGGAUCAAACAGG
rnacentral:rRNA from 1 species